rnacentral:pre_miRNA from 1 species
GGUCUUGCUGUAGCCCUCUUGAGGGAAUCACUUUCUGUUGUGUAAAAGAAGAGAAAGUGCUUCCCUUUAGAGAGUUACUGUUUGAGA